UUAGUCAUAUUACGAUAACUGGUUUCAAUACGAAUACAAUGUUGUAUUAUUUCUUUCAGAUAAUCGUGAAUUAAAAGCAAUUCAAUCAGCAACAGCGGGAGGAAACAUUUGAACUACUAGUUUUCUGGGUAGAUUUUUUAGUUCGUGGACUAUGAAUUAGCCUUGUUCCGGGGUUUUAUUAUUGAAUUUUAUAAUUAUCUUUUUAAUUUCUAUUGGAGUGACCGUUAUUGGUUUUUCAUUAGUUGUAAUUGGGUUUUCUUGGGUAUCUAAUGCUACUACUAUUUGUAGAAUUGUGGUUGCGUGCUCAUUGGUGCGUUCGAUCGUACAAUUUUGGCGUACAUGACUUCCUUUGUUUUACUCGCAGUUAGUAUCGUUGCAAAUACCUUACUGAUAGAUUGCUCAUAACAUAAAGUUAAAUAAUCAUUUAUAACUAUUGUUGCAAUUUCUUGACAUAUGUCUAAUACUAUGGACUCGUACAGCAAAAUGCAUUUGCAGCCUCUAAGGGAUGUUGAAACCAACCUGUGCGAACAAAGUAGUCAUUCAAGGAGUCCAGCUAAGAAAAAUCCAGAAGCAGCUACUAAUUCUGGAAAAACAUGUGGAAAUUUAGAAUAUUGAAUGGUUUACAAAAAAUUCAAAAUAGAAACAUUAAUGAAGAAAUAAUAUUUGCUCGAAGUUUGGUUGGUAGUGAAAGAACACCUGCAUUUGAGCAGUUCUUGGAUUUCUUAAUUAAAAACGAUAGAUUAAAAACUUUGAAAAAUAAAGGAAUAAAUCUACUUAA